AGGGAGUGAGAGGGGACGACUCGGAGAGAGAGGACGACUCGGAGAGAGGACGACUCAGAGAGAGAGGGCGACUCAGAGAGAGAGGGAGGACGACUGGGAUUUAAAGGCGACUCAGAUGCGCCAAGAGGAGGCACCACAAACGUGCGGGAAGGCAGCAGCAGGAGCAGCCACGCGCGCUGCUUUCGAAACCAAACAGCGUUGCCGACGGGCGCACUCAAACGCACGUGACAUUGACGCAGUGAGCAGCUGCAAGUCCUUCCUGUGGGAGUCCGACGCGCGUGACCCGGCAUCAGCCCUCGCAGCAGGAGCAGCCUGGAGCUAGCAAGGCGACUCCGAUGACGGCGGCGCUACAACUGCCUUUGGAGCCGCCACUGGAGAAGAACGAAUUCAAAGUCAACGUGACCUCAUGCUCCAUUGCGUAUAUUUGAGAGCAGUGCUCACCUCCUCUUUGCGGCCCACAGCCAGUGGUGGUAAUUCCACGUGCCCACGAC